GUGUGUAUAGAGGUUUGGUGGGUGUAGAGCUGUAUAUAGAGGUGUGGUGGGUGUAGAGGUGUAUAGAGGUGUGGUGGGUGUAGAGGUGUAUAUAGGUGUGGUGGGUGUAGAGGUGUAUUGUGGUGUGGUGGGUGUAGAGGUGUAUUGUGGUGUGGUGGGUGUAGAGGUGUAUUGUGGUGUGGAGGGUGUAGAGGUGUAUUGUGGUGUGGUGGGUGUAGAGGUGUAUUGUGGUGUGGAGGGUGUAGAGGUGUAUUGUGGUGUGGUGGGUGUAGAGGUGUAUUGUGGUGUGGUGGGUUUAGAGCUGUAUAUAGAGGUGUGGUGGUGUAGAGCUGUAUAUAGAGGUGUGGUGGGUGUAUAGAGGUGUAUAGAGGUG
rnacentral:lncRNA from 1 species